GAUGAACGCUGGCGGCGUGCCUAAUACAUGCAAGUCGAGCGAACAGACGAGGAGCUUGCUCCUCUGACGUUAGCGGCGGACGGGUGAGUAACACGUGGAUAACCUACCUAUAAGACUGGGAUAACUUCGGGAAACCGGAGCUAAUACCGGAUAAUAUAUUGAACCGCAUGGUUCAAUAGUGAAAGACGGUUUUGCUGUCACUUAUAGAUGGAUCCGCGCCGCAUUAGCUAGUUGGUAAGGUAACGGCUUACCAAGGCAACGAUGCGUAGCCGACCUGAGAGGGUGAUCGGCCACACUGGAACUGAGACACGGUCCAGACUCCUACGGGAGGCAGCAGUAGGGAAUCUUCCGCAAUGGGCGAAAGCCUGACGGAGCAACGCCGCGUGAGUGAUGAAGGUCUUCGGAUCGUAAAACUCUGUUAUUAGGGAAGAACAAAUGUGUAAGUAACUAUGCACGUCUUGACGGUACCUAAUCAGAAAGCCACGGCUAACUACGUGCCAGCCGCCGCAGUAACAC
rnacentral:rRNA from 1 species